rnacentral:rRNA from 1 species
AUUGAACGCUGUCGGCAUGCCUUACACAUGCAAGUCGAACGGUAACGGGUCCUUCGGGAUGCCGACGAGUGGCGAACGGGUGAGUAAUAUAUCGGAACGUGCCCAGUAGUGGGGGAUAACUGCUCGAAAGAGCAGCUAAUACCGCAUACGACCUGAGGGUGAAAGGGGGGGAUCGCAAGACCUCUCGCUAUUGGAGCGGCCGAUAUCAGAUUAGCUAGUUGGUGGGGUAAAGGCCUACCAAGGCAACGAUCUGUAGUUGGUCUGAGAGGACGACCAGCCACACUGGGACUGAGACACGGCCCAGACUCCUACGGGAGGCAGCAGUGGGGAAUUUUGGACAAUGGGCGCAAGCCUGAUCCAGCAAUGCCGCGUGCAGGAAGAAGGCCUUCGGGUUGUAAACUGCUUUUGUCAGGGAAGAAAUCUUCUGGGCUAAUACCCCGGGAGGAUGACGGUACCUGAAGAAUAAGCACCGGCUAACUACGUGCCAGCAGCCGCGGUAAUACGUAGGGUGCGAGCGUUAAUCGGAAUUACUGGGCGUAAAGCGUGCGCAGGCGGCUUUGCAAGACAGAUGUGAAAUCCCCGGGCUCAACCUGGGAACUGCAUUUGUGACUGCAAGGCUAGAGUACGGCAGAGGGGGAUGGAAUUCCGCGUGUAGCAGUGAAAUGCGUAGAUAUGCGGAGGAACACCAAUGGCGAAGGCAAUCCCCUGGGCCUGUACCGACGCUCAUGCACGAAAGCGUGGGGAGCAAACAGGAUUAGAUACCCUGGUAGUCCACGCCCUAAACGAUGUCAACUGGUUGUUGGACGGCUUGCUGUUCAGUAACGAAGCUAACGCGUGAGGUUGACCGCCUGGGGAGUACGGCCGCAAGGUUGGAACUCAAAGGAAUUGACGGGGACCCGCACAAGCGGUGGAUGAUGUGGUUUAAUUCGAUGCAACGCGAAAAACCUUACCUACCCUUGACAUGUCAAGAAUUCUGCAGAGAUGUGGAAGUGCUCGAAAGAGAACUUGAACACAGGUGCUGCAUGGCCGUCGUCAGCUCGUGUCGUGAGAUGUUGGGUUAAGUCCCGCAACGAGCGCAACCCUUGUCAUUAGUUGCUACGCAAGAGCACUCUAAUGAGACUGCCGGUGACAAACCGGAGGAAGGUGGGGAUGACGUCAGGUCCACAUGGCCCUUAUGGGUAGGGCUACACACGUCAUACAAUGGCCGGUACAGAGGGCUGCCAACCCGCGAGGGGGAGCCAAUCCCAGAAAACCGGUCGUAGUCCGGAUCGUAGUCUGCAACUCGACUGCGUGAAGUCGGAAUCGCUAGUAAUCGCGGAUCAGCUUGCCGCGGUGAAUACGUUCCCGGGUCU